UACAGAGGGUGCGAGCGUUGUUCGGAAUUAUUGGGCGUAAAGCGCUGGUAGGUGGCUUGUUAAGUCGCGUGUGAAAGCUCCAGGCUCAACCUGGAAAGUGCGCGCGAAACUGGCGAGCUUGAGUGUCGGAGAGGAUCGCGGAAUUCCGGGUGUAGAGGUGAAAUUCGUAGAUAUCAGGAGGAACACCAGUGGCGAAGGCGGCUUUCUGGACGAUAACUGACGCUGAGACGCGAAAGCGUGGGGAGCAAACAGG
rnacentral:rRNA from 1 species